rnacentral:lncRNA from 1 species
AUGAAUAUUACCUGAUUGUCCCAAGUCAGAAACCUCGUUAGUCAAUAAUGAUUGUCUUUUGUCAUAUCCUAAUGCAAGUUUGUCAGUUUGGGUUAAUUAAGUCUUGAUUAAAGAUCUCGAAGUUACUAUUCUGUUGUUACUAGUUUUCUACACUCGAGCGCCUCAGUUAGACAUUGUGUAUAAAUCAUGUUUAUUGUUGACGACCGCAUGUUCACC